rnacentral:tRNA from 1 species
GCGAAUAUGGCGAAGUGGUUUAACGCACCGGAUUGUGGCUCCGGCACGCGUGGGUUCGAUCCCCACUAUUCGCCCCA